rnacentral:rRNA from 1 species
CUCUUCUUGUUUAUUUAAGAAGUAAGACCUGCCCAAUGAUUUAUUUUAAUGGCCGCAGUAUAUUGACUGUGCAAAGGUAGCAUAAUCAUUAGUCUUUUAAUUGAAGGCUGGAAUGAAUGGUUAAACGAGAUAAUUACUAUCUUAAUAUUAUUAAUUUUGAAUUUAAAUUUUAAGUUAAAAAGCUUAAAUUAUUUUUUGGGACGAGAAGACCCUAUAGAAUUUAAUACUUAUAUUUAUUAAUUGGGUUUGUAAAUGAUUUAAUUAUUAUACAUAUUUUGUUGGGGUGAUGGAAAGAUAAAAGUAACUUUUUUUAUAAUUUAAUUAUAAAUUUAUAUUAUAGUGAUCCAUUAUUAGUGAUUAAAAGACUAAAUUACCUUAGGGAUAACAGCGUAAUCUUUUUUUAGAGUUCAUAUCAACAAAAAGGAUUGCGACCUCGAUGUUGGAUUAAGAUUAUCUUUGGGUGUAGAGGCUUGAAAAUUAGGUCUGUUCGACCUUUAAAAUCUUACA